CGGAUUUAAAUAGGUCGAUUCAUUCACUUGCAAGUGAAUAACUAAUUAUCAAUGUUUCUUAGCGUAAUUUGACAAAAUUGAACCUUUUUGGCUGCAAAAAGCGAAUUGUUAUUUCACUUUCAUUAUUGAACAAAAAAAAUCAAACUUCAGAUUUUUUUAUAUAUCUCGUAGCUAGUGCCCCUUUAACACUUUUCGACUUAAUGACACUACUUACCUUAAUUUACAAGAUUGUAAGUAUGAUAUUUGUAAUGAAGACUUGACGACCUUUCAUUUGCUAUGCGACAACACCAUUAUUUAGAAAGUUUGAUUUUUGCACUUAAUAAAAAGUAAAAUAACAGAAA
rnacentral:lncRNA from 1 species